AGCAGCCGGUGGCUGUCACCAGACGGGCAGCGCAAGCCCCUGGCAGAGCUCGCCGCGUCUCCAUCGCAGUGCACCCACCUCGCGGAGAGAAGAGGGAGAGGGGAGAGAAUUGCUGCAUUUCUGGGGGAGGUACCAGCCUCCCCGGCCAAGCCCAACCUUCUCCCCCCACCCUCUCCCCACCCACGCCCGCCGGGCCCCGCCAGCAUCGCCGCAGCGCGGACAUUCCCCCCCCCCGGCUCCGCAGCCCCUGCGCUGCCCACCCUGCCCCACACCCUGCCCAACACCCGCGCCUCGGGCCCCCGGCCGCCAGCCCCUUCCCCAUGGAGAAACAAAAGCGCCUCCAUUGAAGGGGCGGACAGACGGUUCUUGACUGGUUCUUAACGGAAUUUUCCUCCUCGCACCCCCUCGUUUUUCUUUUUCUGCCCCCCCAAAACGUGCGGCCCCUUUGGAGACUGGGGACAUCAGCGGGGGCAGCGUAUCCUGCCAUCGCUGAGCAGCACAACGCUGUGCGGAAAUCGCGCACAGGGAACCCGCGUUUCGGGCUCUGCAACGAUUCCUGUCAUCUGUGUGCUCCAAAACAGGAGGGGAACGGGUUCCCGUUCCCGGCCGGGACUGGUAGACGGGGGGUGCAGCGGCUCUGCCCCCGAAACGCUCCGGCACCGCCACGCAGCAGCGGGACACCCUGCGGGGGUGCUCGGCUGCAGCUCUCUCCCCUUGCUCCCCGAAAUCUAAUUUAGAGAAUCUCCUUUCUUAAAAAAAAAUAUAUAUUUUUUCGUUUUGCUUUCGAACGAUUAUACUUCGUUGCAAUUAAAAAGCCCUAGGGUUUUUUUCUUUAUUUAAAAUAUUUCCGAGGUGAGCAGCCAACACGAUAAACAACGGCAACGAGAAAUUCCUGUCCUGUGCUAUGGCAAAGACAAGCACCGGGUGGCAGGAGGAGUGUUGGUAUUUUGGGGUUGUGUGUGAGGGCACGUCCGCCUCUGCUGCGGGGACAUCGUUUGCAUCGUUGUUUUAUUAAAAAAAUAUAGAUAUUCCUUGAAGGAGGUGGGAAUCUGUGUUUCGUUUGCUGCUUUGGAAGCCUAAGACAAGUUCGUUGUGAAAGAAGACACGGAGGAGACCUUUUCUGGAAGCUGCAGGGGGCAUCAGGGAGGAACGAAAAUUCACCCAAACCGCUGUCUGGAAGCUGAGCCCGCGCCCCCGGUUUAGGGGGCGCACCUGGGACCCGCCCCUUCCCCCGCCGGCCCCGGCCUUGCUGGAAACGCCUCCCCAGGGAUCCCGCUGCCCCCGGGACGGCGGGUCAUUCCUGUCCCGUUUCCAGAGGAGAAAGAAAAAGACUUUUUAUAUCCACGGCUGAAAAAAGAAAGAACAAGAAAAAAGACAAAAGACACCCCCCUCCCCGAACUUCUACUCGCGGCUAAAACCGAGGAUAAAGCACGCCGAAAGAGUUGGGGCGAGAGGGGGGGAAACAGAGGGAAAAGACAGAGGAAGAGAGGAAAGAGAAGCCCGGAGAUACGGAGAAGGAGGGUAGGGGCAUUUACCGCUGCUGCUCUCCCCAUCAC